rnacentral:rRNA from 1 species
GAUGAACGCUGACAGAAUGCUUAACACAUGCGAGUCAACUUGAACUUCGGUUUGGGUGGCGGACGGGUGAGUAACGCGUAAAGAACUUGCCUCACAGAUAGGGACAACAUUUGGAAACGAAUGCUAAUACCCGAUAUUAUGAUUAUAUGGCUUAGUAUAAUUAUGAAAGCUAUAUGCGCUGUGAGAGAGCUUUGCGUCCCAUUAGCUAGUUGGAGAGGUAACGGCUCACCAAGGCGAUGAUGGGUAGCCGGCCUGAGAGGGUGAUCGGCCACAAGGGGACUGGGACACGGCCCUUACGCCUACGGGAGGCAGCAGUGGGGAAUAUUGGACAAUGGACCAAGAGUCUGAUCCAGCAAUUCUGUGUGCACGAUGAAGUUUUUCGGAAUGUAAAGUGCUUUCAGUUGGGAAGAAAAAAAUGACGGUACCAACAGAAGAAGUGACGGCUAAAUACGUG